CACCUGCUUUCACCUGAAGUAGCUGCAGGGCGAUACAUGUGUUCACCAGUAGGGGGCGGUAGCGGGUUUUCCCAUGACUGGCGCCGUAAUUCUUGUCUUAAACUAACGAGUUAGACCAGCAUAUCACUGACAGUGACCAGCUAUUAAUGUGAGUCUGUCUUGGUGUUUACAGGUGAGAAACGAACACAAGCGCCAUAUUUAUAUUAAUGUUAUGUUCGCUCGCUUUGGCGGUGCUUUAUUUUGAUAGUUAUUCAGUGUGUAGUAGUUAAAGGGAAGACACUUAAUUAAGGCUCGCGCUGUACAUACAUUUAAACAGGUUUCCUGGUGGAACUCGCCUCUUGUCAUGCCUUUGAUCUCUGUGACGUCGCUAGUGACGAGUGACGUCACGGAGCGCCGAACCAGAGUCUGUAACUAGAAGUGACUUCCAGCAGUAAUUAUCUGUGAGUUUCACAGAAGCACCUCCCACCUCGUGAAGCGGUGUAUGAACCACCAUGCACCCCGAUCGUGGUGGGGGGGGGCUCUGUGACGCACAGACUGGGUGGGUGGGAAGGCGAUUCUCAGAUUCAUCUGGGAAUCGCCAAGGUUUUACAUAAAAGAUAAACAAAAACGAAAUUAAUUUCUCACAUAAAGAAAUUAAUGUUUGUGCCAGAUUUGAAAAUAACUUGCUCAAGGCGUUUCUGAGACACCACUGGAAAUGGGAUGGACGUGGGGGUUACGGUGACCUUUGACCUUUGACCACCAACAUAUAACAGACGGCUUUACGCUAUCGUGAAGACGUGAGAGACGACAAUCUUCUCCUCAUCUUCGGAAGCAAAGCAUGUAAGCGUAUUUCCAAACUGUUAAACUAUUAUUACGUCAUUAUUAUGACAUCAUUGUACGGGUUAGCAACAGGUCUCAGAACUGGAGACGAGGGGCAGCAAAGUGUAACGCGUGUGUACUUUGUUUUGUGGGCGGGGCUUACAGGUUUUAAGCAGCAUUGUGUGGAUGUUGAAGAGUUGAUGACGAGCUCAGAGGGUAAAACCGUCCGAGUGAGUUCUGAGUUCUGAGGAGACAAAAGGACGAGGACGAUGUCAAAGUUUGGUUCAGCUUCAUUCAAAUAUCUUUAACUUCCAUGCACACGCGCAGACAUACAAUCUGCCAAAGAUGCCAGAAACUAACAAACAACAAAAUCUCACACGGUUUUUUAAAAAAUAGCGAAAAAAGUUCUUUGUACACUUCCACGUAGCGGCCGGUCACAUGACCCCGACGCACGACAUUCAGUCCCAGAACACGAGGUGGGAAGCAUCGCGCUACACGGUGCUUUUAGAAAAAACACACGCAAUCACAGUAGUUUAAAUAAAAUGUCUCCUUUUCGUUUUCUCAAGUAAAUAAAUAAACAGUAACAAAACGACAUUCAGGACAAACAAAACGACCUUCAGGACAAACACUCGGUGCCCGACUCCGACUCCCUCCGAUUCAUCGUGAUUAAAAAAAGAAAAAGCUCCAGUGAGUGGACGACAGCAGCUGUUACUGCUCCCGGUCAUAAAUAAACAAA